UACAGUGUGCCACGCUGUGACUAAACAU
rnacentral:sRNA from 1 species